AAACUGGCCACCCGAGCCAGCAGUGGCAACCUGCUUGGGUCCCCUUUCAUGCUGUGGAAGCUUUGUUCUUUUGCUCUUCACAAUAAAUCUUGCUGCUGCUCACUCUUUGGGUCUGCAUUACCUUUAAGAGCUGUAACACUCACUGCAAAGGUCUGUGGCUUCACUCCUGAAGUCAGUGAGACCACGAAACUACUGGGAGGAACAAACAACUCUGGAUGUGCCACCUUUAAAAGCUGUAACGCUCACUGGGAAGGUCUGCAGCUUCACUCCUGAAGUCAGUGAGACCACAAACGCACUGGAAGGAAGAAACUCGACACAUCUGAACAACUGAAGGAAAAAACUCCAGACACACCAUCUUUAAGAACUGUGACACUCACCAUGAGGGUCCGCAGCUUCAUUCUUGAAGUCAGCAAGGCCAGGAACCCACCAGAAGGAAUCAAUACUGGACACAUUUUGGCGAUCACGAAGGGACUAUUGCCUAUCGCUAAGCGUUAAGGUGGUAGGAGUGGAAUCUUGGAUUCACCACACCCAAGUCAAAUUUUUGACACCCCCUGAGGAACCUGCGGGACCGUCAGCUCAGGAGUCCCAAGAUCAGCCAGACCAGCCUCAAUACACCUGCGAACCAUUGGAGGACUUGCAUCUCCUAUUUCAGAAGGAAACAUCCCAGACUAAAAAGGCUCCUACCACUGAUCCUGAAGAAAAACCCCAUCCUCCUUAAAAAAGAUAAGUGAAAACCUACACAAUCUUUAUCUUUACCACCUCUCCUUGCCCCUUUAAUGGAAUCCUUUUACUAUUUCAUUAUAUUAUUAAGCAGCAUACUAACCAUACUAUAUACUAUAGCUCCUGCCAGGACAAAAAUAAAAUAGAACACAGGGAGCCACUCAGUUUGCCCCCAACACCCCUUUCCAGCCACUCACCGGGGCUACCUUGGCAAGUACUCUAGGAGUAUGGGAAAAUGAAAACAACAAACUCACACACCUUUUUAACAUAUACAACAAGUUCUGUCUACCCAGCCAAGGUAUAUUCUUCUUAUGUGGAACAUCGACCUAUAUCUGCCUCCCCACUAACUGGACAGGCACCUGCACCUUAGUCUUUCUAGGUCCCAACAUUAACAUUGCCCCAGGAAAUCAGACCCUAUCAGUACCCCUCAAAGCUCAAGUCUGUCAGCGCAGAGCCAUACAACUAAUACCCCUACUUAUACAGUUAGUAAUGGCUACUGCUACAGGAACCGGAAUAGCCAGUUAAUCUACUUCAUUAUCCUACUACCACACACUCUCAAAGGAUUUCUCAGACAGUUUGCAAGAAAUAACGAAAUCUAUCCUUACUCUACGAUCCCAAAUAGACUCUUUGGCAGCAGUAACUCUCCAAAACGGCUGAGGCCUAGACCUCUUCACUGCUGAGAGAGGAGGACUCUGCACCUCUUAGGGGAAGAGUGUUGUUUUUACACUAACCAGUCAGGGAUAGUAUGAGGUGCUGCCCGGCAUUUACAGGAAAAGGCUUCUGAAAUCAGACAAUGCCGUUCAAACUCAUACUAACCUCUGGAGUUAGGCAACGUGGCUUCUCCCCUUUCUAGGUCCCAUGGCAGCCAUCUUGCUAUUACUCACCUUCAGGCCCUGUAUUUUUAACCUCCUUGUCAAAUUUGUUUCCUCUGGGAUCAAGGCCGUCAAGCUACAGAUGGUCUUACAAAUGGAACCCCAAAUGAGCUCAACUAACAACUUCUACCAAGGACCCCUGGACUGACCUGCUGGCCCUUUCACUGGCCUAGAGAGUUCCCCUCUGGAGGACACUACAACUGCAGGGCCCCUUCUUUGCCACUAUCCAGCAGGAAGUAGCUAGAGCAGUCAUCGGCCAAUUCCCAGCAGCAGUUGGGGUGUUCUGUUUAGACGGGGAUUGAGAGGUGAAGCCAGCUGGGCUUAUGGGUCAGGUGGGGACUGGGAGAACUUUUCUGUCUAGCUAAAGAAUUGUAAACAUGCCAAUCAAUGCUCUGUGUCUAGCUAAAGAUUUGUAAAUGCACCAAUCAGCACUCUGUAAAAUGGACCAAUCAGCAGGAUGUGGGCGGGGCCAAAUAAGGGAAUAAAAGCUGGCCACCAGCAGGAGCAACCUGCUCAGGUCCCCUUCCAUACUAUGGAAGCUUUGUUCUUUCGCUCUUCACAAUAAAUCUUGCUGCUGCUCACUCUUUGGGUCAGCACUACCUUUAAGAGCUCUAACACUCACUGUGAAGGUCUGUGGCUUCACUCCUGAAGUCAGCAAGACCACGAACCCACCAGAAGGAAGAAACUCUGGACACAUCUGAACAUCUGAAGAAACAAACUCUGGACACACCGUCUUUAAGAACUGUAAUACCUACCAUAAGCGUCCGCGGCUUCAUUCUUGAAGUCAGCCAGACCAAGAACCCACCGGAAGGAACCAAUUCUGGACACACUCUGUCUUCCUGUCUCAAGGGGAUAAGACAAUAGAGUUGACAGCCCUGUUUUAAAUGGAUUCAAAACUGUGAAAUCACUUUUUUUUUUUGAGACAGAGUUUUGCUCUUGUUGCCCAGGCUGGAGUGCAAUGGGGUGAUCUUGGCUCACCGCAACCUCUGCCUCCCAGGUUCAAGUGAUCCUCCUAACUCAGCCUCCCGAGUAGCUGGGAUUACAGGCCUGCACCACCACGCCCAGUUAAUUUUGUAUUUUUAGUACAGAGGGGGUUUCUCCAUGUUGGUCAGGCUGGUCUCAAACUCUAGAGCUUAGGUGAGAUCCACCCACCUCGCCCUACCAAAGUUCUGGGAUUACAGGCGUAAGCCACUGUGCCCGGCCAGAAUAACUUUUUUUUUUUUUUUUUUAGGAGUUCCAGUGCAUUUAAUAAUUUUGAUGGGGAACAGCUGACACUCUGAUUGCUAAUGUUUAAGAUGAUAGAGGAGGGUCGGGCGCAGUGGCUCAUGCCUGUAAUCUCAGCACCUUGGGAGGCUGGGGCAGGUGGAUCACCUGAGGUCAAUCGAGACCAGCCUGACCAACAUGGUGAAACCCCAUCUCUACUAAAAAUGCGAAAAAAGGUGUAGUGGCAAACAUCUGUAAUCCCAGCUACACAGGAGACUAAGGCAGGAGAAUCGCCUGAACCCAGGAGGCAGAGGUUGCAGUACGCCAAGAUUGCGCCACUGCACUCCAGCCUGAGCAACGAGAGUGAAACUCCGUCUCGGGGUAGGAGGGAGAAAAAAACAAAAAAAGAUGAUAGAGGAGAGCAGAAUUGGAAGUGGUGGCCAAACAAGAAGGCAGAGUUUAGUUAAUUGCUUACAUGAUGUGAUUUCAGAGGCCAUAAACACUUUCUCAUCUCUAAGAAUUACCACUGCUCUUUAAUGUCUAAAAACUUCAUUUCCUUCCUAUUGAAACCUCUCUCUGUUAAAAUGCAGACCAAACGCCCUAUAGGUGUAACGCUUUGACUGUUAUCAGUCAUGCAGACUUUUGUGGAAGUGUGUUUUAGAUUCCUUUCUGGAAGUAGAUUUUGAUAGGGAAUAGGAGGAUAUUGGAUACUAUGGGACUAAGUAGAGAAGAAAGAAGCUUAAGCUUGUCUAAGACACCUUAGACACCUCACCUGUUUUUCAAUUUUACUGAUGAUUGGUAUGAGAGGAAAAACAAAACCUGGUUUAAUAAGAAAUGGAUUCAUAAAUGCUUUUUCUAUAAAUUUAUAAACUUCAAGCUUAUAGAAAAAGUUGUUCCAGUGCAAGAAACUCCUACAUGCUUUUGAUCCCCACUUGGUAAAAGCCCCACUUGCUCCAUCCGUGUCUCUCCUCAUCUGUUCAUUCAUAUGCCUGUAGUUUGCUGAGAACUGAGUUUCUAUCUGCUGUCACUUCUCUUUAGGCCAAAUAGUUUCCUUUAGUAUUUCUUGUACAACAGAUCUGCUGCUGAUAAAUCCUUUUAAUGAUCAUUUAUCUGAAAGUAUUUCAUUUCUCUAAACAUAUUUGUAAUAGCUGCUUUAAAGUUCUUAUCUGUUGGCCGGGCACGGUAGCACUUGUGCCUGUAAUCCUAGCACUUUGGGAGGCUGAGGUGGGCAGAUGGCUUGAGUCCAGGAGUUCGAGACCAGCCUGGGCAACAGGGCAAAAUCCUGUCUCUACUAAAAAUACAAAAAAUUAGCUCAGCAUGGUGGUGUGUGACUGUAGUCCCAGCUACUCAAGAGGCAGAGUUGGGAGGAUCACCAGAGCCCAAGAGGUCAAGGCUGCAGUGAGCUGUGAUUUUACCACUGCACCCCAGCCUGGGUGACAGAGUGAGACCCUGACUCAAAAAAAUAAAAAAUCAAUAAAAAUUAAAUAGAGUUCUUAUCUGCUAAUCCAAUAUCUGGAUAAUUUUGAAGUCAGUUUCUAUUGACUGCUUUUUCUCGGCUACAGACUGCAUUGUCCCAUUUUUUUCUCUUUGACUGUGGCCUCAUUUUCCUGUUCUUUCUGUUCUCAUUUUCAUGUUCUUCUCACAUUCCUGUAACUUUUUCUUGCAUAUUGGACAUUGUGAGUGAUACAAAGUCUCUAGAUUGUUUUCUUUCUCUGAAAAGUGCUGAUUUUUGUUCUAGCAAGCAAAAUUAAUUUGGCAAGGCUCGAAUGGCAAUUCCUGUGGUGGCAACAGCUGAAAACUGCUCAGUUCUUUCAGCUUUUUUUUUUUUUGAGAUGGAGUUUUGCUCUGUUGCCCAGGCUGCUGGAGUGCAGUGGCACAACCUCGGCUCACUGCCACCUCAGCCUCUUUCAGCCUUUUUAGCGAUUUGCUUCCUGCUAGGCUCCUGAGAGAUUAUAGACGCAUAGUUCAAGGAUCAGCCAAAGACUUGCCCAAAUUUACAUGCAGUUCUUCUGUGGCUCACUUCUUUCUGGGAUGUCCCUGUCACUGUCAUCUCUCCAGAGUCCCUGAGCUCUGUCCUCAGAGACUGUGGCCUUCUGCCUGUGUUUCCCCAUAGUCCUGAGCUGUGGACUGGGAAAUGCCUUCAGGCAAAAAACCAUAGAAAUGAGAAUCUCAACAGGUGCCUUUCUCUCAAGGCUCAUCUUCCUUCUGGUUUGUUUGUCUGCAUAGGGUUACCCCCAAAUAGUUGGGGGUGGGGGGGUUGUUUGUUUCAUUUUGUUUUUUUGAGAUGGAGUCGUGCUGUAAUGCCCAGUCUGGAGUGCAGUGGUGCGAUCUCGGCUCACUGCAACCUCUGCCUCCCAGGUUCAAGCAAUUCUCCUGCCUCAGCAUCCUGAGUAGCUGGGAUUACAGGCUUGUGCCACCAUGCCUGGCUAAUUUUUGUAUUAUUAGUAGAGAUGAGGUUUCACCAUAUUGGCCAGGCUGGUCUCAAACUCCUGACCUCGUGAUCCACCUGCCUUGGCCUCCCAAAGUGCUGGGAUUACAAGCGUGAGCCACUGCACACAGCCCAAAUAGUUGUUUUUUAAAUACUUUGUCCUGAACUUAUUGUCACUAUCUCCAAGAAUUAGCCUGACACAAUUACUCUGCCAUUACCAGAAGCAGAGACUACACUUUAAAAAAAACAUAUAAAAAUAUCACCUCUAUAAACCGUUACAAGUAAAUUGAUUAAUUCAACAAGUAGUUACUAAGCAUUUACUCUGGGCUAGUUACUAUGCCAAUACUAGGUGCUAGAAAUCCUUUCGGAUAUAAAGAAUUAUAUAAAACUAAAGUCAACUGGAAUGGGCCUGGUUCUUUAGACCUCAAAAUAAAGAUGUUAUUCAGGGACAUUACAAUCCCUUCUCCCUACCCACUAAAGGAAUACCAUGUACAUUUACUUGUUGUCUCAUAGACAUUUUACAAUUUUGUGGUUCAUUUUCUCAAUAAAUUCUGAUUGCUGAGCCCAAAAGCAUUUGCAGUUAACACCACCAAAUCAGCUGUAGUUAAAAAUUCUCAAUUUUCUUUGGCUAGUUUGAAAUUUGUCAAAAUAUAUAUAAAUAAAAACCCCAGAGAUAGAGUCACUCUUUCCUAACAGUGAGACCUCUGUCACUUCUCCAUUUGGAAGAAAAGAAACUCUAGCGCUAGAAACAUCACCCUGAAGGAGGUGAAAGCAGUGUUCCUUCAGCAUCAAAACUGGGGCCAGGGAGGGGCCUCCCUUUGACUUACCCCACCUUCCUAUCUGGAUUGUGGAGUGUUACUAACCUCCACAAAUGGUCUUAGUUUUUUACUAUAUCUAAAUAAAAUAAAGGUAAGCCUGGACGCAGUGGCCAUGCCUGUAAUCUCAUCACUUUGGGAGGCCGAGGUGGGUGGAUCACCUGAGGUCAGGAAUUUGAGACCAGCCUGGCCAACAUGGCGAAACCCCGUCUCUAUGAAAACUACAAAAAUUAGCCCAGCGUGGUGGCACAUACCAGUAAUCCCAGCUACUCAGGAGGCUGAGGCAGGAGAAUCACUCGAACGCAGGAGGCAGAGGUUGCAGUGAGCUGACGUGGUGCCACUGCACUCCAGCCUGGGUGACAGAGUGAGACUCCGUCUCAAAUAAAUAAAAUAAAAUAAAAUAAAAGUAGCAGUUUCAUUUGUAUAAGGUCCAAUGCUGAAUGCCACUUAUUUGGGGUUAGAGGUCAAAGAAAGUUUGCAUGUCUGCUAUGGUGUGUAGGGUUCACCACCUUAGUUCUGAGUUCCUCAUUCCCAUUCUUAAAUCCUCAUUCAAGACCUGUCUCAGUCACAGGCUUAUGGGACGAUAAAGAGGGAUGUAAAAGGGAGAGGUGGGACAUUUUUCCUGCUUUAUAGCUUUGUCUAAGUUUGGCUCUGGCUUCAUUAAGGAGCCAAGUGGGAAAUACACUCACGGAGCUCCAGCCCCUGCCCUCUGGUCCUCACUGUUGUGAACAUGUUGGAGAUUAGCUCAGUGCCCUUCCUAUUUCCGUUGGUUUUCUGGCACCUCUUAUUCUAGUUCCGCUAUUAGAAUAGCCUAUGAAAGAGGAUCACAUACAGCAAGCACAGGGGAAACACUCCAGAACCAACCACUGAAUGAAUUACUUGGCUCUAUACCACGUUCUUUUAUUCCUUCUCCCUUUAUUUUCUAGGUUAAAUUUAUUCUUGUAUCAUCUUAACAUCUGAAACUAUUUUUAUUACUAUUUUAUCUUACUUCUAAUGCAUACUUAAAAUACUUCUGAUUGUACAGCAGUUUUACCAUAAACCUUGCAUGUCAUUUUCUGAUGAAUCAUGAAUAACUCAACCAGACACAGCGUGAGGUCAACAGCAAACAUCUGUGUCCUUGGAGGCGGCCUUCUCCCCUUCACGCAGCUGGCUGGCAUCAGCUAAACAGCCAGUUAUUUAACACACUCAAGCUGUGCACCAGGGCAGGCUGACCAGUGCUUACUGCUGAAUAUCUUACACAUUAAAACAGGAAGAUGAAACCAGAAAAAGAAUACAAGGGUUAAUUACUAGCUUAUUAGUAGUUCCAUUUUUCUUCCAAAGAAAACAGUUCUGUUGAGUCUCAGGUGGAUGUUGGGUAGAAGCAGGACAGCCAGUCAGCGCCGCUUUGAAGUGUGGCUGCAGGGCUUGCGCUCUCCCCAAUUCAGCUGUUGAAGCAGGGAAGAGACUUCAAAGCCGGCUUGCUGUUGUUCCUGCCAGUGGGGUGUGUGCAAUUCCCAUCAGUUUGCUUUAAGGAAAAAACGGAGAGGAAUUCAUCUCCUGUCACUUGCCAGGGCUUGAUGCUCAUCAAAUAAUCUACUAGUUUGUAGUUAGGACCAUCUCUAUCUAGUGGACACAAAGGAAAUUCAUUGUGUGACUUACGUUUAUUUAUGUACAUUAAUUUUACACAUCUGAGAUAGCCAGUUUGUGUAAUUUGUCCAGAUUGUGCCACAUGUCAGUGACGAGUAAACCACUCCUACUGCUGAUUAAAUUCACUUGUGGAAAUAUACAGUAGCUCUCCUAGGCAAAGGCAAGUUUAGAAGAUUGUCCCCUUGUUGCUCUGUUACUACAACCCAUAAUUACAACUGUUUACAAUCCUUUAGUCAGAUUUAAAUUCAACAUGUAGGAAGUGCGCUCAAACUCCUUUGUGAGUUAAGAAUUAUUCUGUUUGGUCAAUUCACUUUGUACUAUAUAUACAUUUUUGAACAACACAUUUUUAAAAGUAAAUGCAAUUUCCCUGAAUGAUUUUAUUUGGUCUAAACCUUAAUUUCCAUUUAAAAUGUAUAUAGUUUAUUUCACAAUAAGGGGAAAAUGAAAUACUUGAAGCCAUUAUUAACUUUUUUUUUUUUUUCUGAGACGAAGUCUUGCUCUGUCGCCUAGGCUGGAAUGCAGUGGUGUGAUCUUGGCUCAUUGCAACCUCCACCUCUCAGAUUCGAGCAAUUCUCCUGCCUCAGCCUCCUGAGUAGCUGGGAUUACAGGCGCAUGCCACCACACCCAGCGAAUUUUUGUAUUCUUCGUAGAGAUUGGGUUUAACCACGUUGGCCAGGCUGGUCUCAAACUCCUGACCUCGUGAUCCUCCCACCUUGGCCUCCCAAAGUGCUGGGAUUUCAGGCGUGAGCCACCGUGCCCAGCCAGCUCACUCUUAUAAUUGAAAAUAGCUCUAGUUCAAAAACGGAUUCUUUUGACUUAUGUGGACAAUUAAACUUCCCCACUAUUACCCAGUCAGCUUUUAUUUAAAUAAACAUGAAAAAUUAGGUAAAAACAUUUCAUUGUACAGUACAGCAUGGGAAAAGAUAUGAGGCUCUUUAGGAAAGCUUAGCAUGCCAAAAAUGCAGCAGUAACCAGACAGCAACAUUCACCAGUGGCAGUAAUACUGCCUCGCCAGUGGUAGCACUACUACCGCAGAGUUGCCAACACCAAUACACAGGCAUCCAUUUAUUCAACAGCAGGUCCCCAGUAUGGCCUAAAGUAGAGCUACCUGGUAGAAAUGAAACGGGGAUAAAAACAAACUCGCUCCUGGGAGCAUAAUGAGGAAAAAUCUAGUUACAGAAAGCUUCUAAAAUUAGCACAGGAGUAUGCAUCAUGCUGUAGAAAAGACGGUCUACCAUACAAGUUCUGAAGAAGCAAAGAUCAUUAAUUAAAGAGCUGUUAACAGAAAAUUAAUCUGUUAUUGAUCUGACACUUAUCACUCACAGAAUACAAUGAAACAGGAAGUUAUUAUUGAAAUAAUAACUUGCAUUUUUAUUUUUUAAUAUUGCAA
rnacentral:lncRNA from 10 species